GUCACACCCAACUGCCACAGAAUAUUCUGAUUCCAACAUUCUGUCCUGUUCCCGAUAAAGACAUAUUACUCAGAAACAUCCUUCUGCUGUUUGAAUAACAGAAGACAGAUAGCACCCCAUAUGUGUCUUGCUAUAUGUGCAGAAGUUCCUUCUGCUCCUAGAACCUCAACAUAGCUGUAGGAAUACAUUCAUGGCAACAGCCAGAUGCCAUAUUUGUGGCAAAGGUAUUGUCAUGUGGCUGUAGGACUGUUUGACCACUUUAAGGCAGUUCCUUGCUCCACCAGCCAAAGUCUCACCCCUUCCAGGAUGCAGAAGGUAGCAAGAAAGGAGAUGCUGUUGCCCAAACAACAGCCUGAGUCACUUGUAUCUUGACUGGGUGAACUUAUGCAUAACCCAAGAUAUUGCAAGAGGUCUCAUUUGACCUUACCUUUCCUUUCUUUAAUUGAUUUUGAAAUACUUUGGAUUCACCCUGAAAUGCUGUCAUCUCUGGGGUUGAUGGUAACAACUGGUGCAUAUCAGAACUAUGCAAGUUAGGUCAAUCAGUGAAAAAUAUCAUACUUCUUCAGAACUGCAGUGGAAAUUGUAGGUAGACAGAAUAUAAUUACCAAAAUGAAACGUAGUUAAACAAACCUAUUCUUGCAUGAAUUUCAGUAGGAUCUCUAACAAUCACAAGUUGUUAGGACCUUAGUUUUAUAUCUUAUUCAGAAGACAGUGCCUUCAAUAGUACAAUGCUCCUAACACCACAAUGAGGUGUUGGAUCAAUUAUGAUCGAAAAGGAAUACCAGUGGCUGAGUCACCAACACUACUUCUUCCUACAGCACCUGUGUUUUCCUUGUAGGUUUCCCAUCUAUGUAUUGACCAAGCCUGACCCUCCUUAUCUUGUGGGCACCAAAAUUUGCAGGAAUUCAGCAGCAGUGACACUGGCAGAAUUCAGUCAGUUUGAGCUCUGCACGGACUAUACUAAAGUCAAGGCCUAAAUGUUCACAAGUGUCCACUAAUUCUGAAUGCCUUCAAUUUUGGGUGUCCAUCUUCAGCCACAUGGGGCCAGAUUUUCAGAGGUGUGGGCCCAUGCAACUUCAUUUGGCUUCCACGGGGAGCUGUGAGUGCUCUGAAGAUCAGUCCCUAAUUCUCACAAAUUGGGCACCUAAAAAGCAAAGGUAUAUAAAAGUAGCAAAUACUUAACAAUAUAUAUGCCUUCCCAGAGAUGAUACAGCAAGUCAGUAGCAGAUCUGUGAAUGGAACCCUGGAGUAAAGAAUGCCAGUCCUGUGCUAAAACCAUUACUCACCAACUCUUCCACAUUCUGAAAAAGACUUGCCUCUGUUUUUAAGAGUCUUAUUAUUCUGCAAAGAGUUAAAAGUAAAUGGAUUACGCUACUCAGUAACAAAAAGUCAACUCAAUGGGCUGCAACUGAUGAAUAUUCUCAGAGAAAUACCACAAAGCGAACAAGAAGUACUUAUAAUAAUCUUGAAUUCCGGUAUUGCAAGAAUAAAGGCUUUGUC